rnacentral:rRNA from 1 species
GACGAACCGAGCGAACGUUGUUCGGAAUCACUGGGCUUAAAGGGCGCGUAGGCGGGUGCUCAAGUCCGUGGUGAAAUCCUCCGGCUCAAUCGGAGAACUGCCUCGGAUACUGGGCGUCUCGAGUGUGGUAGGGGUAUGCGGAACUAUCGGUGGAGCGGUGAAAUGCGUUGAUAUCGAUAGGAACUCCGGUGGCGAAGGCGGCAUACUGGACCACCUCUGACGCUGAGGCGCGAAAGCCAGGGGAGCAAACGGG